rnacentral:rRNA from 1 species
UAGGGAAUCUUCCGCAAUGGACGCAAGUCUGACGGAGCAACGCCGCGUGAGUGAAGAAGGAUUUCGGUUCGUAAAACUCUGUUGUUAGAGAAGAACAGCGCAUAGAGUAACUGUUAUGCGUGUGACGGUAUCUAACCAGAAAGCUCCGGCUAAAUACGUGCCAGCAGCCGCGGUAAUACGUAUGGAGCGAGCGUUGUCCGGAAUUAUUGGGCGUAAAGCGAGCGCAGGCGGUCAAUUAAGUCUGAUGUGAAAGCCCCCGGCUCAACCGGGGAGGGUCAUUGGAAACUGGUUGACUUGAGUGCAGAAGAGGAGAGUGGAAUUCCAUGUGUAGCGGUGAAAUGCGUAGAUAUAUGGAGGAACACCAGUGGCGAAGGCGACUCUCUGGUCUGUAACUGACGCUGAGGCUCGAAAGCGUGGGUAGCAAACAGG